UGCCGCCUGCCCAGUGAGUACAAUCUUCAACGGCCGCGGUAUCCUAACCGUGCAAAGGUAGCGUAAUCAUUUGUCCCCCAAAUAGGGACCUGUAUGAAAGGCUAAAUGAGGGCCCAACUGUCCCAUAUAGCCCCCCAAUGAAACUGAUCUCUCAGUACAAAAGCUGAGAUAACUACACAAGACGAGAAGACCCUGCGGAACUUCAACUACCCUAUCAACCCAAAACCCAUAGGAACCAACAAGGUUCCACCAAACCUCCCCACGAUUGAUAAAAGUUUAAGUUGGGGCGACUACGGAGCAAAAACAAACCUCCACGUAUCACAUACCAUCAGGCAAACAGGCCAGGGUAUAAUGAACCAAGACCCAGUAAUACUGAUCAACGAACCAAGCUACCCCAGGGAUAACAGCGCCAUCCUCUUCAAGAGUCCUUAUCGCCAAGAGGGCUUACGACCUCGAUGUUGGAUCAGGGCUCCCCAGUAGUGCAGCCGCUACUAAUGGUCCGUUUGUUCAACGGUUAAUGCCCU
rnacentral:rRNA from 1 species